rnacentral:rRNA from 1 species
AUUGAACGCUGGCGGCAUGCUUUACACAUGCAAGUCGAACGGUAACAGGCCGCAAGGUGCUGACGAGUGGCGAACGGGUGAGUAAUGCAUCGGAACGUGCCCAGUCGUGGGGGAUAACGCAGCGAAAGCUGCGCUAAUACCGCAUACGAUCUCUGGAUGAAAGCGGGGGACCGAAAGGCCUCGCGCGAUUGGAGCGGCCGAUGUCAGAUUAGGUAGUUGGUGGGGUAAAGGCCCACCAAGCCAACGAUCUGUAGCUGGUCUGAGAGGACGACCAGACACACUGGGACUGAGACACGGCGCAGACUCCUACGGGAGGCAGCAGUGGGGAAUUUUGGACAAUGGGCGCAAGCCUGAUCCAGCCAUGCCGCGUGCAGGAAGAAGGCCUUCGGGUUGUAAACUGCUUUUGUACGGAACGAAACGGUCCUGGUUAAUACCUGGGGCUAAUGACGGUACCGUAAGAAUAAGCACCGGCUAACUACGUGCCAGCAGCCGCCGUAAUAC